UACGUAGGGUGCGAGCGUUGUCCGGAAUUAUUGGGCGUAAAGGGCUCGUAGGCGGUUUGUCGCGUCGGGAGUGAAAACUCAGGGCUUAACCCUGAGCCUGCUUCCGAUACGGGGCAGACUAGAGGUAUGCAGGGGAGAACGGAAUUCCUGGUGUAGCGGUGAAAUGCGCAGAUAUCAGGAGGAACACCGGUGGCGAAGGCGGUUCUCUGGGCAUUACCUGACGCUGAGGAGCGAAAGUGUGGGGAGCGAACAGG
rnacentral:rRNA from 1 species